AGACAGCAGCCGCCGCGGAAAACGGAGGGAGCUAGCGUUGUUCGGAAUUACCGGGCGUAAAGCGCGCGUAGGCGGUUACUCAAGUCAGAGGUGAAAGCCCGGGGCUCAACCCCGGAACUGCCUUUGAAACUAGGUGACUAGAAUCUUGGAGAGGUCAGUGGAAUUCCGAGUGUAGAGGUGAAAUUCGUAGAUAUUCGGAAGAACACCAGUGGCGAAGGCGACUGACUGGACAAGUAUUGACGCUGAGGUGCGAAAGCGUGGGGAGCAAACAGGAUUAGAUACCCGCGUAGUCCCUGUCUCUUAUACA
rnacentral:rRNA from 1 species